UGGGGAAUAUUGCACAAUGGGGGAAACCCUGAUGCAGCGACGCCGCGUGAAGGAUGAAGUAUUUCGGUAUGUAAACUUCUAUCAGCAGGGAAGAAAAUGACGGUACCUGACUAAGAAGCCCCGGCUAACUACGUGCCAGCAGCCGCGGUAAUACGUAGGGGCAAGCGUUAUCCGGAUUUACUGGGUGUAAAGGGAGCGUAGACGGCUGUGCAAGUCUGAAGUGAAAGCCCGGGGCUCAACCCCGGACUGCUUUGGAAACUGUGUAGCUUGAGUGCUGGAGAGGUAAGUGGAAUUCCUAGUGUAGCGGUGAAAUGCGUAGAUAUUAGGAGGAACACCAGUGGCGAAGGCGGCUUUUACUGGACAGUAACUGACGUUGAGGCUCGAAAGCGUGGGGAGCAAACA
rnacentral:rRNA from 1 species